rnacentral:rRNA from 1 species
AUUGAACGCUGGCGGCAUGCUUUACACAUGCAAGUCGAACGGCAGCGCGGGCUUCGGCCUGGCGGCGAGUGGCGAACGGGUGAGUAAUGCAUCGGAACGUGCCCAGUAGUGGGGGAUAGCCCGGCGAAAGCCGGAUUAAUACCGCAUACGACCUGCGGGUGAAAGCGGGGGACCGAAAGGCCUCGCGCUAUUGGAGCGGCCGAUGUCGGAUUGGCUAGUUGGUGGGGUAAAGGCUUACCAAGGCGACGAUCCGUAGCUGGUCUGAGAGGACGACCAGCCACACUGGGACUGAGACACGGCCCAGACUCCUACGGGAGGCAGCAGUGGGGAAUUUUGGACAAUGGUGGCAUCCCUGAUCCAGCCAUGCCGCGUGCGGGAAGAAGGCCUUCGGGUUGUAAACCGCUUUUGUUCGGGAAGAAAUCCUCUGGGCUAAUACCCCGGGGGGAUGACGGUACCGGAAGAAUAAGCACCGGCUAACUACGUG